GAAAACGUGGGACAAGUAACUCUAGCAGCUGCUAAUGGAAGUUUGAGUUUUCUGGCGCAUGGAUGUGGGGAUCCAGUUCUUAAGGCUGAGAACAAACUUAAUGAAAUUGGGAGCCUUUUGAAAGCCACACUGACUGAGAAGAUAAAGAAGUUUGAUGGAUACCUGUGGAGAUUCAGGAGAUCAGUGCAGCAUGUUGGUUUCCUGUCUGAAGCAGCUGGGUGGCCUUCAAUAGCCUUGCAAAGGGCAGCAGGAUUCCUGCAAAGUGGGGUUACAGCUGUCACCCAGGUGUGGAAGCAAAGUGGAAUUGAGCACAUUCUGAGAAGCAGGAUCCCACUUUACUUGGAGAAAAUUCAAGAUGUUGUCCAGCAAAUGCAGAAUGAAUUACAAAGUAAGCAAAAUGGUGCAAAACAAGAAGAGGGACAAUGUCAGUGCAGGGCAAACCAAACUUCACUGUAAACUAUAAAACAUACUGAACAACACAAAAGUUUCUA
rnacentral:lncRNA from 1 species